rnacentral:rRNA from 1 species
UGGGGAAUAUUGGACAAUGGGCGCAAGCCUGAUCCAGCCAUGCCGCGUGAGUGAAGAAGGCCUUCGGGUUGUAAAGCUCUUUUGGCGGGGACGAUAAUGACGGUACCCGCAGAAUAAGCUCCGGCUAACUUCGUGCCAGCAGCCGCGGUAAUACGAAGGGAGCUAGCGUUGUUCGGAAUCACUGGGCGUAAAGCGCACGUAGGCGGAUUUGUUAGUCGAGGGUGAAAUCCUGAGGCUCAACCUCAGAACUGCCUUCGAUACUGCAAGUCUUGAGUCCGGGAGAGGUGAGUGGAAUUCCUAGUGUAGAGGUGAAAUUCGUAGAUAUUAGGAAGAACACCAGUGGCGAAGGCGGCUCACUGGCCCGGUACUGACGCUGAGGUGCGAAAGCGUGGGGAUCAAACAGGAUUAGAUACCCAAGUAGUCCCUGAGCGGGCUGGCAAGGCGCAU